rnacentral:rRNA from 1 species
UACGUAGGGUGCAAGCGUUGUCCGGAAUUUAUUGGGCGUAAAGAGCUCGUAGGCGGUCUGUCGCGUCGGCUGUGAAAACCCGGGGCUCAACCCCGGGCCUGCAGUCGAUACGGGCAGACUAGAGUGUGGUAGGGGGAGACUGGAAUUCCUGGUGUAGCGGUGAAAUGCGCAGAUAUCAGGAGGAACACCGGUGGCGAAGGCGGGUCUCUGGGCCGAUACUGACGCUGAGGAGCGAAAGCGUGGGGAGCGAACAGG